CAUCCUCAUUGCAGCAGGUCAGAGUGAGAGCCCUGAGUCUAGAAGCACAGGAUAUUUAUUGUAGUUGCAGUAAGCUUGGGGAAUUCCAUAUGGGUCAGCAAGUUAAUAUAUUAAAACCUGAAUUUCUGGUGUAAUCUGCAGGAGCUGAACAUGGAGACAAAACCACCUGACAAACAGGAUAGCUAAGUUAUCAGUUCUCUGAAGGAUGUCUUCAGUUAUCUACAUGUACCUUGACCCUGGUUUUGUAGCCUGAUUGACUGUAGUCUAGCUAGAGGAGGGGUGUUGCCAUAGGAUGCUUACUCAUGAAGACUCUUGUGAUUUUCCUCACGAAAUUGGAGCUUAGCCCCUGGUCUUGCACAAAAUGGAGGAGGCCUAAUAAUGGAGCUUCCGAUGGAAUCAGAAGGAUCGUUGCAAGCUGUUCCUCUCACCUCCAGCUUAGAUUGACAUCAAUGGACCCUACAAUGCUGGGAAUUUACAGAGGAUUUUCUUUAUAUAUUCAACUGCAUUAUAUUAGCUGACUAUAUGUGAAGUAAUUACUCAAGACCAGAGAAAGAAGCAAUUGAAAUAUGAAAUUGGAAUGCUGGUUUAUUGUGCCAAGAAAAGCUCCUUUCUCAACCUGUCACACUAAAGAAAAGAAACAAACAAAGAAACAAACAAACAACAAAUGAAAUUUUCAUAUCUUCUUACCCUUUACACGGGGGUGUCUUGUCUCCAUACUGGUUGAAAAUCACUCCCAAGUGUAUACUUCUAAGUUGCCAAAUUAAAACAUAAAUAAGAU
ensembl:lincRNA 4930412E21Rik RIKEN cDNA 4930412E21 gene